rnacentral:lncRNA from 1 species
UUAAGAGAUUUCUCUAAGGUAGCGUUUGGUUCAGGAACAAGGGGAGAAUAAGCCCUUGUUCCUCUUUUUGUUUCCAAACGCUGCGUUUGAUAUAUGAGAACAAUAGUUUUCGAAUUUCUGAAAUAAGCUGGUAUAAGGCUGGAAUUGUUGUUCCACCUUUUUUCUAGAAUAAGCUUGUUGCCAGGUGAGAAUAAGGUUAAUUGAAGUCUAAAAAUAAUUUUAAUUAUGAUAUUAAAUAAUUAAUUAAUUUAAUUAAUAUAUUUAAAUUAUUUAUUUAUUGAUUAAAUAAUAAAAUAAUUUAUUAAUUUAUUAUUUAUAAUUAUUAAUAAUUAAUUAAUUUAUUAAUUUAUAAUUAACUAAUUUAUCAUUAAUUUAUUCUUAAUUAAUU